GUCUAGGAGCCAGGCAGCUGCUUCCUGAGACUGCAGUUCCCUGACUGCAGUAAAGUUACUUCCAGCUGAGUGCCAUGUAACUCUCCAAUCGAGUGGCUCAUUGUGACCUGCGAGAUCCCAAUGGAGGACAAGCAUCUUUGUCACCAAUGGAUGUGCAUUGAUCUGUGAUUUGGGUUCCCUCAACUCUGUGCAAUUACAGCAGUGAUGCAGAGCUCAAAUACAAAACCGUUGUUUCUUUCUCAUAUCACUCAUGAAGGGAUUGGGGCUUGACCCCAGAGCAUAACAAAUGAAGAGACAGAUGAUUUCCCAUACAAUAGUUUCUGAAGAAGGAGUUCUCUAGCAAGACUGGAUGGCUGAUGAAUGCUAAAGACUAUGAAGACAAAUCUGCAAACAUUGACUAUUCAGGGUAGAAACAGCAAGCCCUGAGAACCGCAGAGUGUUUUACUUCUUAAAGCUUUUUAAAUUUUAUAGCUCAUUUAUGUUCCAAUAGAAUUAAAUAUGUGAUAAUAUAGU